GACCACGUAGCUCAGUUGGCAGAGCAUUGGACUAGUAUCCCAAAGGUGGCGGGUUCGAUUCCCAGCGUGGCCA
rnacentral:tRNA from 1 species